rnacentral:misc_RNA from 1 species
GAUGAAGAACGUAGCGAAAUGCGAUAAGUAGUGUGAAUUGCAGAAUUCAGUGAAUCAUCGAAUCUUUGAACGCACAUUGCGCCCCUUGGUAUUCCAUGGGGCAUGCCUGUUCGAGCGUCAUUUGUACCUUCAAGCUUUGCUUGGUGUUGGGUGUUUGUCUCGCCUUUGCGUGUAGACUCGCCUUAAAAUAAUUGGCAGCCGGCGUAUUGAUUUCGGAGCGCAGUACAUCUCGCGCUUUGCACUCAUAACGACAGCGUCCAAAAGUACAUUCUACACUCUUGACCUCAGAUCAGGUAGGGAUACCCGCUGAACUUAAGCAUAUCAAUAAGCGGAGGA